rnacentral:precursor_RNA from 8 species
AAUAUGCGCAUGAUAAUGGGGCUCUGGAAUCCUGGUUUUCUCUGGUGCAUAGAUUAACGCUUUGAAUUUGUGUCUAGCACCAUUUGAAAUCAGUUUUCCUGGGUGCUCACUCUCCUCUCACUUAAU